UUCGCAAUGCCCGAAAGGGUGACGAAGCGACGCCGCGUGGGUGAGGAAGGCCUUCGGGUUGUAAAGCCCUGUCAGGAGUUAAGAAAUGUAAGUGCGCUAAUAUCGCAUUUAUUUGACGAAGGCUCCAAAGGAAGCCACGGCUAACUCUGUGCCAGCAGCCGCGGUAAUACAGAGGUGGCAAGCGUUGUUCGGAAUUAUUGGGCGUAAAGAGCACGUAGGUGGGUUUGUAAGUCAGAUGUGAAAGCCUUCUGUUCAACGGAAGAAUUGCAUCUGAAACUGCGAGUCUUGAGUGUAGGAGGGGAGAAUGGAACUUCUGGUGGAGCGGUGAAAUGCGUAGAUAUCAGAAGGAACGCCGGCGGCGAAAGCGAUUCUCUGGCCUAUUACUGACACUCAGUGUGCGAAAGCUAGGGGAGCAAACGGGAUUAGGUACCCCGGUAGUCCUAGCCGUAAACGAUGGGCACUAAGUAGAGGGGUUUU
rnacentral:rRNA from 1 species